UACGUAGGGUCCGAGCGUUGUCCGGAAUUAUUGGGCGUAAAGGGCUCGUAGGUGGUUUGUCGCGUCGGGAGUGAAAUCCCUGGGCUUAACCCAGGGCCUGCUUUCGAUACGGGCAGACUAGAGGCAUUCAGGGGAGAACGGAAUUCCUGGUGUAGCGGUGAAAUGCGCAGAUAUCAGGAGGAACACCGGUGGCGAAGGCGGGUCUCUGGGCCGAUACUGACGCUGAGGAGCGAAAGCGUGGGGAGCGAACAGG
rnacentral:rRNA from 1 species